rnacentral:rRNA from 1 species
AGUAGUUUGAUCCUGGCUCAGACACGCUGGCGGCAGGCCUAACACAUGCAAGUCGAGCGGGGGAGCAAUCCCUAGCGGCGGACGGGUUAGUAACGCGUGGGAACAUACCCUUUGGUACGGAAUAGCCUCGGGAAACUGAGAGUAAUACCGUAUGUGCCCUUCGGGGGAAAGAUUUAUCGCCAAAGGAUUGGCCCGCGUUGGAUUAGGUAGUUGGUGGGGUAAUGGCCUACCAAGCCGACGAUCCAUAGCUGGUUUGAGAGGAUGAUCAGCAACACUGGGACUGAGACACGGCCCAGACUCCUACGGGAGGCAGCAGUGGGAAUCUUAGACAAUGGGCGAAAGCCUGAUCUAGCCAUGCCGCGUGGACGAUGAAGGCCUUAGGGUUGUAAAGUCCUUUCAGAUGGGAAGAUAAUGACGGUACCAUCAGAAGAAGCCCCGGCUAACUCCGUG